AAAAAGGGCACUCUCCGUGAGCUUUGCUCUCCUUUCUCGGUGCCAAGGAAACGCACACGGACACGGGGACGCGCACACGCGUACAGCACUUCUUCUUGAAACAAAAGGCACAAGACGUGUUCCUCUCGCCAGAGCCGUACCCCCGCACAGCUGAUUUCUAAGAAGUGCCCAUAAACCGCCGUCAGCGCCGCGUACCCCCUACUACCCCCGCCCCGCACCGCCCUCCCAGCCUUGCGUGACCGAGCCCUGGAUCCGGUGAGGGCCGGCGUUCCUGCGCGUUAUUCACGGCGCGGGGCGGGCCGGCGGUCGGCGAUAUAUAGGGACGGGCAGGCGACUGGCGGGGGACACAGCCAGGCGCGGAGUGGUGGGGAGCGGAGCGGGUGGCACGCAGGCAGGCGGCACGGGGAAAAAACCCAAGGGAAUCUCGAUUUUUCUUCCCCCUCCCCACUAUUUUUACUCCCCUCCGUGCUUUCUCCUUUUUUUCUGAAACGCUUUUGGACCAGGUUUUCUUCAGACCGUCUGGGCUUGGCUUUUGAUUUUUUUUUUUUUUGUCUUUUAACUUUUUCAAAGCUUUGUUGUUUUUUUGUUUUUUUUUUCCCUGAGUGUUGUGUGUGUGGCAAAAAAGAAAAGUUACUGUCGAGCCAAGUAAUUCAGGCGCUCUGCAGGCAGGAGGGGGGGAGAAGAGAAGGAAAAAGCUGCCUUUGUUGCUAGCGAGCCCUUGCUGCCUUUAUGUGACUGAGGGCAAGCGACUGCAGGAAAGGCCGGCGUGCGAGAGCCGGCAGCAGCUCCCCGCCUCCUCUCUCCGGCAGGGCUGCGAGCGGCCGCCAGCUCCGCAGUCCCCUCGGAAGCGGCGCCGGCUGCGCUGCUCCGCUUCGCUUCCUCAGCACCCACCCAGAGCUCUGCCCAUCCCGCUCCCGGCCGCAGUGUGCGGGGGCGGCUCCGGGCGGCUCCCUCCGCCGGUUGCCAUGGUGCCGCGGCCCGGCGUGCUGUGGGCAGUGGCGGCGGCGGCGCUGGCGCUGCUGGUCCGGCGGGCGGCGGCGGCGCUGGCGGGGCCCGUGGUCCGCUGCGAGCCCUGCGACGCGCGGGCGCUGCAACAGUGCAAGCCCCUGCAGCCCGACUGCGCCGAGCGGGUGCGGGAGCCGGGCUGCGGCUGCUGCCUCACCUGCGCCCUGCGCCCCGGGCAGCCUUGCGGCAUCUACACGGAGCGCUGCGGCGCAGGGCUCAGCUGCCAGCCGCGGCCGGAGGAGGCGCGGCCGCUGCAGGCGCUGCUGGAGGGCCGAGGGCUCUGCACCAACGCGACGGCGGGCGGCAAGCUGCGGGCCUUCCUGCUGCCGGGACCGCACGCUGCAGGAAAUUCCAGUGAUUCAGAAGAAGACCAGAGUACCAGCAGCACAGAAAAUCAGGGCGUUCCAAACUCUCACAGGGUGCCAGAUUCCAAGUUGCAUCCACCACACAUCAAAAUAGAUAUCAUCAGGAAAGUGCAAGCCAAAGAUACUCAGCGCUAUAAAGUGGAAUAUGAUUCGCAGAGUACAGAUACACUGAAUUUGUCUUCUGAAUCCAAACAAGAGACUGAGUAUGGUCCAUGUCGUAGAGAAAUGGAAGACACUUUAAACCACCUAAAGAUCCUGAAUGUCUUGAGUCCAAGGGGCUUUCAUAUUCCAAAUUGUGACAAGAAGGGGUUCUACAAGAAAAAGCAAUGUCGCCCGUCCAAAGGCCGAAAAAGAGGUUAUUGCUGGUGCGUGGAUAAAUACGGACAGCCACUUCCCGGGUUUCAGAACAUCUACUGUUUCCCCAGAGGUCAAGAGACAGGAGUCUGUGACUUCAGUCAAAUCUAGAGAGCUUGAGGCUUGCACAGAGAACUGAAACCAGUAGAAGCACUGCAGCUUGGCAGAACACUCACAGCUCUGUCAACAGGAGUAUUACCAUUGCUUCAGUGAGAACAAGGCCAAGCUCAUAAAUCCAGGAUGAAGACAUUUCUGUCUCUUCCCUCUGUUCUUGCUUAUGCGUCUCCUAGAGCGCUUCCAUCAACGCUGCCUCCGUACAAUCUUAAACAUCCACUGGUCAGAUUUUGUGACCAGUACAUCUGUUCUUGAGCAAGCAGCAGUCACAAGUAUAGAGGCCAUGCUGAUGAGAACACAGCUGUGAUGGGCAGGGCACGUCUCAAGGAUGAAGGACCACUGUCUCCCUAAGAUCUUGCUCUAUGGUGAACUUGCCGCUGGCUGCCGCAAGAGAGGAGCCCUGAAGGAAAGAUACAAGGACUCCCUGAAACAACAUCUCAGCCUUGGCCAUAUUGAUCACCAUAACUGGUGUACUCUGGCCUCAAAUCGGGAGGCCUGGAGAAACACCAUCUAUAACGCAGCUGUCUCCUUUGAGAACACACGCAGGAUCACCCUUGAGGAGAAAAGGCAACGCAGAAAGAACCGUGUUUUGCAGAAUACACCAUCCAAAGAGUCUUUCUGUUGUGCCUUUUGCAAUCAGAUAUGUCUGUUUCGUACUGGCCUCAUAAGUCACCAACGUGCCUGUAACAAAUGUGGAUAGAGCCUUCCCAAAUCUUCGUUCGCAAAGCCCAGCCAUGAAUGAAUGAUUUUUACAGGACUAGCCCCACAAUGAAUGUAACUAAAAGUAUCCAAACAAAGUGCUUACAGCUUCCAGAAUAGCCAUUGAGUCUGAAAUUCUCCCAGUUGUAAGCCAACAACUGAAAAGCCUCCUAAAAUGACAUGUGAAGACAUUGGCACAUCUUCGCAUAGCAGGGGCUGGCUACUGGGAGAUGUGAAUCUAGCCUUAGCAUGUAGUUCAUGCAAUUCAGUGUUUGCACAAAGAACUAGAACACUUACUCUGUAAAACAGAAAAUCUCCAUAGGCCCUGUACAGUAAGUCAAUGGCCUUUCUAAAACUUCUGUUACUAAAAAUAUAACCAAGUUAAGCCAACAUGUUUCAAUGGUAAGUAGUACCAUGGCUGUAGAGAAACAUGACCAAGACUGCUUUUAACCACACAGAGGGCUCCUGCAAUCCAGCAGCUAGAGAAAACUGGUCACUCAAGAAUGUAGUUUUUAUUUGUCUCCUCUUAAACGUUGUUAAACAAUUAGUAGCUUGGAGUUUGCUAACUACUCAAGGGCAGUUUUAACAUACAGAUAUUUCCAAUCAACAGUGUUACCAGAGCCUGAAAUGCUCAGAUUUUUACUGUGCUGAAGAACCUAGCAAGUACAAAGUUUUGGGGUUUUUUUCACUUACCCUUUGAAUAGAUAAGCAUCAUAAGCAUCCAUCAUGUAACAUCCAUUAUGGACAGUACUUCUGUAUAUUAUGUUAAUUAGCCCUUGGACUCAAUAUCAUUCACAAUCAAUAUACAGAGAGGAAACCAGAAGAACCUUUCUUACAUAUUAUCCACUAUUACUUACUGCACAGGGAAUGGAUCUUCCUCUUUGAAUUGAGAAGAAGAAAGGUAAAUGCCCAGAUCAUCUGAGAGGCCAAGAACCUAUCCAGGAUACUGAUUUCAAAGAAUGGUAGUUAUGUUGAUCUCUAAUACUGAAUUUUCUACCUAAACUGAUUUUUUCCUUUCUCAAUAUUAUCAUGCAAAUUUCACAGACAAGGUGGCACCACAUAAGUACCUGAUUUGCAGUUGAAAAGAUCUUAAAAUGGCAUUUAAUUUCAGAUGAAAACCACUUUUUGAAGUGGUACCUGAAGAUGCCACUCGAAAUUUGAUGUCUUAUUUCCCCUAAUUGUCCCUUGGAAAAAGUGCACAAUGGUUUUAACAAUAGUGGUAGAUGGCUAGGUAUGUCUAUACAACCUGUCCUCAAGAAAACAGAAAAAGUUCAUAUUUCUUCCUUUACUAUUGUCCAGUUCUGGUCUUUCAUUAGACAAGCAUCCCAUAGGUUUCCUGUACUAAAUUUUAAAACUAAUUGAUUGUGAAUUAAAAAUUAACUUUAAUAAUCUUUAAGCAGUACCUCCAUUAAGGAUGCACAGUUCGUCAUAAUAGCUGGAAUGCUGAAAAGCAUUUAAGAUGCUGGAACUCACUCUUGGCCUGCUGAAAGGCCACAGGAUAGCAAAACCAGUAUAGUCCUGCUGCUACUCUAUUUCAGGGCUAAAAAUAACAUACAGAAGGUCUUAUAUUCAUAGAUCAUAUGGCACUCACAUACUUCCACCACAGUAUACACCUAGACAUGUGCUCCACUGAAUUUCAAAAUCUAACCACCUUUUUCUUCCACCUAAAAACUAUAUUUGGCAGCACAGCAAGCAGAAACUAGCAUCAGUUUGUCCAAAACAAUCUUCUGAGGCUGACAGACAUACCAUCUAUCAAUACGGUAGGUCACAGGACAAAAAUUAAAUUAAGUAAUUUCACACUGAAGACUCAGUUAAACAGUGCAGAGUCCAUGGAAAAUAUAGAACAAGAUAAUCUUAAGUCGAAAAGGACACGGACAUCGUUUUGGACAUGAAGACAUACAAGAAAUCUCAACAAAGCUUAACUGUUACAUAGAAAAACUUUAUAAGCAGAAGAUAAUAGAGCUAAGUCAUUCCUGACUUCUCCAUUUUGGAGCCAGGGAUGUGUUUCACUAACCCAUGUGUUCCAGUCUUGAUGUUAUGUGUAAAAGCAGGCACUGUGAUGAUUUAUACAGUCCUCUUGACAACAUAGUUAACAGGGUGUAGAUGAGAAUAGAAUGUGACCUCUGUGAACUACAGGAGUGUAAGAUUUAACAUACAGGCAACUUCCAAAUUGCACCAAACCAAACUUACAUAUUGAACUUUCUCCUUCCUUCAGGAGCCAGUGUGAAACACUUUGGAGGUGGGAAUUGGACUGCUAAGAGGUGUGACAGGAGGUAAACAUAUCUUGAUGCCCGUAUUAUGGUUAAUAUAAUUUCUAUAGGUUUUGCUGUGAUUAUGAUAGUUAGGAAAUGUAUUUUCAAAAGCAGUGCAUGCACUUGGUACCUAAAUAAAUUUCUGAUCUUCAUCUGGGAAGGAGUUCCAUAGUUUCAUUGCAUGAUAUGGGUAUAAAUAUUUUCUUUUAUCAGUUUUAAUAGCUUCUUUUCAGUUUACCUGAACAUUGACUUGUUUUCACCCCUUUUUGUGUAAUAAAAGAUAAAAAUCCCCCAUGGAUUUAA